UUGUGCGUGUGUGAACUAUUAUGCCGGUGUAGCCAUUAGGAGAACAACUGAGGAAAACACGGGAAAACACACAUCUCCUCUGUCACGACACAACUUCAUCAACUGUGUAUGUGCGUGUGGUCCUGCAAUCAAUGGGUUUCAAUAAUUCAGGUCUUCUGAACACAGCUUUUGUGUGUGUUUCUGUGUUUGUGUGUGUGUGUGUUGACGGCUUCCCCUAAAUGCCAGUGACUCAUGUUGAUAAUAACGGACUCGGCUUUCAAAGCCCACCUAUAAAAACUCCCGUAAUUAUUAUCCAGGUGCCGUGAACUACAGCACCCUCCCACAGACACAUGCACACUCACUCACAGACCCACCUGUAAAAAAAAAAAAGAAAAGAAAUCAUUACCAGUUUAACCUACUUGAUACAAUCCUGAAUAGUUUGAGAGAAACAAAGAAGUAGAACGUUAUCAGUAUGCAUAGAUUGAGGAGCGGAACAGGAUAAAAAAAAACUAAUAUUAACCGCACCAAUCCUUUGUUUCGUUUGUCGCUAUUGGCAACCUUUACUCAUUACGCCGCAUUUAUAUAUAUAUAUAUAUAUUUUUUUAUUAAAAUCCUUAAUUGAGAGAAUCGAGUGUUGGCACGUGUGAGAGAAAGAGAUAUCGAGAGUCAGAGACAAAGAAUUUUGGAGCGGUUUAAUGAAGCCGGAGUGCUCAGCGAGCGGCCGGGGAAAGAGCGUCGGCAUGAAAAGGACGAGAGGAUGCAAAAGAGAAAAGACGGGAGAGAGAGAAAAAGGAGGACCGCGCUGCUCGUUUCCCGUCCUCUCUGUUUUCUUUGACACAAACACCUGCUGACUGCUCCUCUGUCGGCUCACGCAACAGACAGCGAGAAGGAGGGAGGAUGACAAAGAGAAACAAGACCAUGAAGAAGAAGAAGAAGAGGAGGCGGGGAGGUGUGUAUGGGGGAGAGAGGAGGAGGAGAUAGGUAGCUCGAUGGGAAGGCGCAGCGCGCCAAGUGACAGCAGGGAGCAAACGAUGAGAGGGUGAUCAGAGAGGGAGGGAGAGGAGAGACACAGCGAUGGAACCACUAAGGUGCUGUUGUUAUAGCAACCUGCUGCUCUGGUGCUUUGUGUGCUGCAUCCUCAGUCUUCCUCCCUCUCACCGAUUCCCUCUCUUUUAAGGUCGAGCAUCCUAUCGAAAGCCGGAGCCUCAACGUUUAAAGAACACGUCGAGACAGUCGCAUUAGAGGAGGACUCCAUAUGGAGGCAGACCUGCCACUUGACAUGAGGAUGCUGGGCCACGGCAGAGCCAUUUUGAGUAUGGGAUGACACUCUUACAGCUAACAAAACAUAGUGUGUUCCUCCUGAUGUUGAUCACAAACGGUUUUCGGAAACCUAAUCAAAAGCCACACGUCAAUCAACUCCUCUUUGAAAAUGAAGCAAGACAUUUACUCCAUGCCAGACAGGCUCUCUUCACCCUUUCUGCCUCGCUGUCACAUUAUCUCCUCGUCCCGUUCCCCACACUGAGCGCAGGGGACAGUGCCGUCACUAAUAGGCGGGAUACGUUCGUGGCAUUCACGAAAAAAAAAAACACACAGUGGCUGCAAGGUGAUGAACACUGUAAAAGACAAAGCAGAGUCCAGAUGAAUCCUGAUCUCAGCAUCACAAAAGGAGCAUCCACGGAAAAAAAAGCCACGGAAGGAGCAAUCCGAUAACUAAACUGGACCUCAGACACCGGCGUCCACUGCUUAUUGUCAUAGUCUGCAGUUCAAAUAAAAAGCAAACAUAUGGGAAAUCUGUCAAAGAAAAUUAAUUAUCAGCUACAUUUGUAAACAAAUCACAACAUCGGUUGUGUAAGAUGAAUAAUGUAGUGAAUACAAUCAGGUAGCACAGAUCCACAAAUAUGGGUCGUAAUUGUCCAAAUUUCAUUUUGUUUCCCUGGUGCAGGCAAGCAUGUGCUUUGCCUGAAAAUAUGUGUGUGUAUGUGUUGUGUGCUCGUUCCUGGUCUGACCCACUAGACUGUGAAAUGAGUCAAUUAAAUCAAACAGGUCUUUAAUAAGAAGUA